GACGAACGCUGGCGGCGUGCCUAACACAUGCAAGUCGAGCGGAGAUAUAUAGAAGGUUUACCGGAAAUAUAUCUUAGCGGCGGACGGGUGAGUAACGCGUGGGCAACCUGCCUCAUACAGGGGGAUAACACAGGGAAACUUGUGCUAAUACCGCAUGAUAUCAUUGUAUGGCAUCAUACGAUGAUCAAAGGAGCAAUCCGGUAUGAGAUGGGCCCGCGUCCGAUUAGCUAGUUGGUGAGGUAACGGCUCACCAAGGCGACGAUCGGUAGCCGAACUGAGAGGUUGAUCGGCCACAUUGGGACUGAGACACGGCCCAGACUCCUACGGGAGGCAGCAGUGGGGAAUAUUGCGCAAUGGGGGAAACCCUGACGCAGCAACGCCGCGUGAAGGAAGAAGGCCUCGGGUUGUAAACGUUCUUUGUAUUGGGGUACGAAGGAAAGUAGAACUGUACCCAAAAACAAGACCACGGCUAACUACGUGCCAGCAGCCGCGGUAAAGUC
rnacentral:rRNA from 1 species